rnacentral:tRNA from 1 species
GCGCCCUUAGCUCAGCUGGAUAGAGCACGUCCCUUCUAAGGAUGUGGUCGAAGGUUCGAAUCCUUCAGGGCGUACCA